CAACUCAUACUACACGAGUAAUAUGGGUUAUUACAGUAAGCAGUGUACAUAUAACAGUUCGAACAUGUAUCAUAGCAUCCAGGGCAACACCAAUUGUUAUUGCACAUAGUUCCAUUUGGACAAUGCUGAUUGAUGCACACUGCAAUAUAUAUUUCGAAAAUUCAAAUAAACCAUCACAAUGAC
ensembl:antisense_RNA T03D8.8 ncRNA